rnacentral:rRNA from 1 species
GAUGAACGCUGGCGGCGUGCCUAAUACAUGCAAGUCGAGCGAAUGGAUUAAGAGCUUGCUCUUAUGAAGUUAGCGGCGGACGGGUGAGUAACACGUGGGUAACCUGCCCAUAAGACUGGGAUAACUCCGGGAAACCGGGGCUAAUACCGGAUAACAUUUUGAACCGCAGGGUUCGAAAUUGAAAGGCGGCUUCGGCUGUCACUUAUGGAUGGACCCGCGUCGCAUUAGCUAGUUGGUGAGGUAACGGCUCACCAAGGCAACGAUGCGUAGCCGACCUGAGAGGGUGAUCGGCCACACUGGGACUGAGACACGGCCCAGACUCCUACGGGAGGCAGCAGUAGGGAAUCUUCGCAAUGGACGAAAGUCUGACGGAGCAACGCCGCGUGAGUGAUGAAGGCUUUCGGGUCGUAAAACUCUGUUGUUAGGGAAGAACAAGUGCUAGUUGAAUAAGCUGGCACCUUGACGGUACCUAACCAGAAAGCCACGGCUAACUACGUGCCAGCCGCCGCCGUAA